rnacentral:misc_RNA from 1 species
UUAACUAUUAUAUAGUACUCAGACAAUAUUAACAAACAGAGUUUAGGUCCUCUGGCAGGCGCUGACCAGCCGGAGCCGGUGGUCCCGUAAGGGACGGGCCUGCCAAAGCAACAAAGGUAUAAUAAACAAAGGGUGGGAGGUAUACCCCGAAGGGCAACGUCUCUUUAAUGAUCCUUCCGCAGGUUCACCUACGGAAA